GAAGAGAUAAGUGCUGAAAGCAUCUAAGCACGAAACUUGCCCCGAGAUGAGUUCUCCCUGACCCUUUAAGGGUCCUGAAGGAACGUUGAAGACGACGACGUUGAUAGGCCGGGUGUGUAAGCGCAGCGAUGCGUUGAGCUAACCGGUACUAAUGAACCGUGAGGCUUAACCUUACAACGCCGAAGGUGUUU
rnacentral:rRNA from 1 species